CCUACGGGAGGCAGCAGUAAGGAAUAUUGGUCAAUGGACGCAAGUCUGAACCAGCCAUGCCGCGUGAAGGAUUAAGGCCCUCUGGGUUGUAAACUUCUUUUAUAGGGGACGAAAAAAGGGCAUUCUUGCUCACUUGACGGUACCCUAGGAAUAAGCACCGGCUAACUCCGUGCCAGCAGCCGCGGUAAUACGGAGGGUGCAAGCGUUAUCCGGAUUUACUGGGUUUAAAGGGUGCGUAGGUGGGUUGGUAAGUCAGUGGUGAAAUCUUCGAGCUUAACUCGGAAACUGCCAUUGAUACUAUCAAUCUUGAAUCAUCUAGAGGUAAGCGGAAUAUGUCAUGUAGCGGUGAAAUGCUUAGAUAUGACAUAGAACACCAAUUGCGAAGGCAGCUUACUAUGGAUGUAUUGACACUGAGGCACGAAAGCGUGGGGAUCAAACAGGAUUAGAUACCCUGGUAGUCCACGCCCUAAACGAUGGAUACUCGACAUUUGUGAUAUACUAUAAGUGUCUGAGCGAAAGCAUAAGUAUCCCACCUGGGAAGUAACGACCGCAAGGUUCGAAACUUAAAUUGAAUUGACCGGNGNGAGAGNGCGAGACGACGACGAGGAGGAGG
rnacentral:rRNA from 1 species